GCAAGCACCUACAAAUCAUGAGAUCACUUCUCAAGGGAAUGCUGAUGAAACACUAUCAGCAUGACCAAGUCCAAUAUCUAGUGAAACGUAUUGGAGUCGUGGCUUCCGAAUUGGAAUUGGUGGUUUCAAAUCAGUCUCACUUGGAGAACUCCAGUUGUUUCCACAUGCGUGUUUUCUUCUCAAAGAUCAAUGGUGUUAUGGAAGAAAUUAAGGCUGUCAUGGAGGGGCUGAUUGAGAUUUAUGACAAGAUGCAUGAUAUUGAGGUCUUGCAAGGUGGAAAGUCUUCUGAUACUAGUGGUUCAUCAAGAACAAAAACCACCAUGGUAGAGGAUGAAUUUGUGGUGGGCUUUGAUAAUGAGGCAAUGAAUAUAAAAGAGCGACUUACGGGAGGAAUGAAGCAGCUAGAGGUUUUCUCAAUCAUUGGGAUGCCUGGACUCGGUAAGACAACUUUAGCCAGAAAAGUGUACAAUGAUCCUUAUAUUGCACAUUACUUCCAUUUGCGUGCAUGGACCUAUGUUUCUCAAUCACACACAAAAAAGGAAAUGUUGCUUGACAUUUUGCAUUCUCUUAUGAACCUUACGGAUGAAAUUAAAGCAAUGAACGAUGAAUAUUUAGGGGAAAGACUGUACAAAAGGUUAAAAGGUAAGAGAUAUUUCAUUGUCAUGGAUGAUAUCUGGAAUAUUGGUGCUUGGGAUGAUAUUAGAGUAUAUUUACCAAAUGACAGCAAUGGAAGUAAAGUUUUGUUCACUAGUCGGACAAUGGCGGUGGCUUUGCGUGCUAAACCUGAUGGCCAUCCUCACUGUCUACGAUUUCUAACUGAAGAAGAAAGUUGGGAGCUGUUACAUGAGAAGGUGUUUCGGAAUGAAAACUUCCCUCCAGAACUAAUGGAAUUUGGUGAGCAAAUCAUGAAAAAAUGUGAAGGACUACCACUUGCAAUUGUUGUAAUAGCAGGACUUCUCGCAAAGAGUGAGAAGACAAAAGACCGGUGGAAACAUGUUGCUGCAAGUGUGAGAUCAUGCAUUAGCAGUGAUCCAAACCAAUACAUGAACACAUUAGCACUGAGUUAUGACAACCUGCCUCAACACCUGAAACCAUGCUUUCUCUACCUUGGAGCAUUUCGGGAUGAUCAUGAAAUUCCUGUUUGGAAGUUGAUUUUGUUAUGGAUUGCUGAGGGAUUUAUACAUCCAAUUGGGCAAAGAAGGUUAGAGGACAUAGGAGAGGGUUACUUAAUGGAUCUAAUUGACAGAAGUCUGGUAAUAGUUUCAAGAAAAAAGUCUAAUGGGGGAAUUAAAGCAUGUCGUAUUCAUGAUCUUUUGCGUGAUUUGUGCUUGAAAAAAUCUGAGGAGUUCAAUUUCCUAAAGCGGAGUCAUGAGAAUAAACUUGUUUCUUCGUCAUCUUCAAGUAAUGGGUCAAAUAACCAACUUCGCUUGUGCAUUCAUUCUGACUGCUUAAAUUUUGAUGGGGUUUCAAAAAUAGACCCUAAUGUUCCAGUCACUGAAUCAUUUAAUCCCGAUGACUUAAAUUUUGAUUGUAUUUCUAUGGAGCCUUCUUGCCCAGUUGCUCGGUCAUUCUUGUGCUUUGGCAAUUCAGAUGGCACUCCUUUACAUGUUGAUCCUACUUUUUAUGCCUCAGACUCCAAAACCAGUGUAUCAAGUGAAAGAAUGCGCUACCUUUCUGAAGUCUUUCAUGACAGAGAUGCGUUGAAAGAACGUGAAAAACUUUUGUUUCGAAGUAAGUGUCUUCUCUUUGUUGAUGGAUAUUCUUUCCUGAAAGGUAGGGAUCCAUCUCUAUGGUACUCAAUCUUUGUAGAUAAUUGUUUUGAUUCCAAUCCAAGAGAUGAGUCACUUCUUCAAACUUUUAUACUUCUUCAAGUGUUGGAUUUAUCGUGCCGCAACGUAUUCUUUUUCCGUGAAAUACUACAUCUAGUUUAUUUAAGGUACUUGGCAAUUCAGACUGAUGAUUUUUAUGUAUUACCACCAUCAAUAUCCAACCUCUCAAACCUAGAAACCCUUAUUCUUGGUACACGGUCAUCCCAUGUUAUUGUGCCAAAUGUUGUUUCAAAGAUGGCAAAGUUAAGGCAUCUUUAUUGUAAAGGAGGGGUGUAUCAUAUUGACUUUGAUUGUCCUAAAUUAGUACCAUUGGUCGAUGAUUACUAUCCCUUUGUGUUGAAAAACCUGGAAACCAUCUCUUACAUGUGUCCUUGUGGAGCUGUUCAGGAUUUAUUGUCAAGGACUCCUAAUCUUAGAAAGCUGGGAUUUCGUGGACAUUUGAUAUCAAUGUCGGGGGAUUUGGAGCUUCCGGAUCUAUGCGGUUUAAUCCAUCUUGAGACCUUGAAGUUGGACAAUAGGGCCCCUGUUCAAUCAUCUGCUCUCCAACUGGAUGGUGUGUGUUUGUCAAACGCUCAACUUGUGUGGCCCACAAAUCUUAAGAGUCUAACCUUAAGAGGCACAAGGAUAAAGUGGGAGCAGAUGUGGAUGAUUGGCUUGCUACACAACCUUGAAGUUCUCAAAUUAGAAAUAAAUGCUUGUCAGGGACCGGAAUGGAAAACAAUUAAUGGGGGCUUUCAUCAACUCAAAUUCUUGAAAUUCAAACUCUUUUCUGUUGAACGAUGGAUUACCUCUAGUACUCACUUUCCACGCCUUCAACAUUUGGUGUUUGAAAAUUGUGUACUUCUUGAGGAGAUACCAUCUGAAGUAGGUGACAUCCUCACCUUGCAGAUAAUUGAGGUAAAAUUUUGUUCCCUGUUUGCUGAUCAUUCUGCCAGGAAAAUUAAGAAAGAGCAAGAGAGCUUGGGAAAUAAUCAGCUGAAGAUCCUGAUUGACAACCAAGAAUGGUUGGUGAGAACCUAUGAAACAGAAAGCUCAGAAAGUGGGCCAGAAGAAGAAUGAGGAUGCAAUUUCUAGGUGAUUUUGUCGAAUUUCAUUGCUUUGGCUCUACUUGUGUUGGUUUACAUUAUUUUCAUUGUUUUGGCUCUACUUGUGUUGGUUUACAUUAUAUUAACAGCAGAUGUUAAAAAGAAUUCUGUUGUUUUUUUGGAUGAAGCUGUGAUGUUUUAAUUUCAUGGUUCCUUGCCAGCAAAAGUGGUGGGAGAAUUUGUUUUCAAAUUGCUAUCAGAGACUGCAUAUGGAGCACAGAAGCUGGGAAAUAGAUCAAUACACGGUUUGCUUGUGCUACUCAAUACAGAUUGGUGGCUUCGUCUCUAAUAACCUUUGGCCCAAUCAUGGAUCAUUAAGAGGAUUGGAUAAGAACUGCUGUUCAUGUGUGCACACUUUGUCUUUUUAAGUUUAUAUUCUGAGUAUGUCUGAAAUUGUAUUGUAAACAUAGUUUUGCUUUGUUGAAAGGAGGUUGAAUUAUUGUCACAUUACACCAAAUUUCAGCUUGACUAGUUUGUUUAUAAUUUAAAUUGCAUAAAAGAAGCUUAGCCUGUUGAUUUGCCAGUUGCUUCAA